rnacentral:tRNA from 1 species
GGCCCGUUGGUAAACGGUUAAGCACCGCCCUUUCACGCGGUAACACGGGUUCGAAUCCCGUACGGGUCA